UAGGGAAUCUUCGGCAAUGGGGGGAACCCUGACCGAGCAACGCCGCGUGAGUGAAGAAGGUUUUCGGAUCGUAAAGCUCUGUUGUUAAGGAAGAACGAGUGUGAGAAUGGAAAGUUCAUGCUGUGACGGUACUUAACCAGAAAGGGACGGCUAACUACGUGCCAGCAGCCGCGUUAAUACGUAGGUCCCGAGCGUUGUCCGGAUUUAUUGGGCGUAAAGCGAGCGCAGGCGGUUAGAAAAGUCUGAAGUGAAAGGCAGUGGCUCAACCAUUGUAGGCUUUGGAAACUGUUUAACUUGAGUGCAGAAGUGGAGAGUGGAAUUCGAUGUGUAGCGGUGAAAUGCGUAGAUAUAUGGAGGAACACCGGUGUCGAAAGCGGCUCUCUGGUCUGUAACUGACGCUGAGGCUCGAAAGCGUGGGGAGCGAACAGG
rnacentral:rRNA from 1 species